ensembl:lncRNA
AGACCUAUCCCCGCCGUUCCCAUAUGUCCUGUGGGGUCUUCAUCCCAUAUGGACCUGACCCCACUGAGCCACUUGGGGUCCUGAUCCCAUAGAGACCCAUCCCUGCCGUUCCCUUUCAGCCUUGGGGUCCUGAUCCCAUAGGAUCCCAUCCCCACUGUGGAUGUUUUCCCUUUGGGGUCUCAAUCCCGUGGAGACCCACCCCCACCGUUCCCAUAUGUCCUGUGGGGUCUUCAUCCCAUAUGGACCUGACCCCAUUGAGCCCUUUGGGGUCCUGAUCCCAUGGAGACCCAUCCCCGCUGUUCCCAUAUGUCCUGUGGGGUCUUCAUCCCAUAUGGACCUGACCCCACUGAGCCACUUGGGGUCCUGAUCCCAUAGGAUCCCAUCCCCACUGGGGUCGGUGCCCUUUGGGGUCUCAGUCCCAUGGGGUCCCCCCCCACCGUCCCCAUUCACCCCGUGGGCUCACAGGAUCCCAUCCCACUGCAGAUGUGAUGUGCGUCCUUUGGGGUCCUGGUCCCAGGACGUCCAUCCGUGUGUCCCCAAGGUGUCCCCAAGGUGUCCCUCUAUGGGUCCCACACUGCCUUGUCCCCAAGGUGUCUGUGUGUCCCCGUCCCCAAGAUGCCCAUAGGUGUCCACACAGCUUUGUCCCCAGGAUGCCAUCCAGUGUCCCCCGUGUCCCUGUCCCCAAGACAUCCAUCCAUGUGUCCCACGUGUCCCUGUCCCCAAGACAUCCAUCCAUGUGUCCCACGUGUCCCUGUCCCCAAGAUGUCCCUCUAUGGGUCCCACACUGCCUUGUCCCCAAGGUGUCCGUGUGUCCUCUGUGUCCCUGUCCCCAAGGUGUCCCUCUAUGGGUCCCAAUACUGCCUUGUCCCCAAGGUGUCUGUGUGUCCCUGUCCCCAGGACGUCCAUCCAUGUCCCCAAUGUGUCCCCAUCCCCGAGACGUC